rnacentral:rRNA from 1 species
GAUGAACGUUGGCGGCAGGUUUGACACAUGCAAGUCGAACGGUAGAGGGGAGCUUGCUCCCCUUGAGAGUGGCGAACGGCUGAGUAACACGUAGGAACGUACCCCACAGACAGGGACAACAGACCGAAAGGCCUGCUAAUACCUGAUAUAUCCUUCGGGAGGAAAUGGUCCGCCGCUGUGGGAGCGGCCUGCGGCGUAUUAGGUUGUUGGUGAGGUAAUAGCUCACCAAGCCUGCGAUGCGUAGCUGGUCUGAGAGGAUGAUCAGCCAGACUGGGACUGAGACACGGCCCAGACUCCUACGGGAGGCAGCAGUUCAGAAUCUUGCACAAUGGGCGAAAGCCUGAUGCAGCCAUGCCGCGUGAGCGAAGAAGGCCCUCGGGUCGUAAAGCUCUGUCAGAGGGGAAGAUAAUGACGGUACCCUCAAAGGAAGCAACGGCUAAUUACGUGCCAGCAGCCGCGGUAAUACGUAAGUUGCGAACGUUAUCCGGAAUCACUGGGCGUAAAGCGUUCGUAGGCGGCAUGGAAAGUAGGAUUUGAAAUCCCGGGGCUCAACUCCGGAUCCGGAUCCUAAACUUCCAAGCUAGAACGGAUCAGAGGGCAGAGGAAUUUCCGGUGUAGCGGUAAUAUGCACAGAUAUCGGGAGGAACACCAGUGGCGAAGGCGACUGCCUGGGGUCUUGUUGACGCUGAAGAACGAAAGCUAGGGGAGCGAACGGGAUUAGAUACCCCGGUAGUCCUAUGCUGUAAACGAUGGACACUAGGUGUCAGGGGCUUCGACCCCUUGGUGCCGCAGCUAACGCAUUAAGUGUCCCGCCUGGGGAGUACGGCCGCAAGGUUAAAACUCAAAGGAAUUGACGGGGGCCCGCACAAGCAGUGGAGCAUGUGGUUUAAUUCGAUGCUACGCGAAGAACCUUACCAGGACUUGACAUCCCGGCGUAAUCCCUUAGAAAUAGGGGACCCCCUCGGGCGCCGGUGACAGGUGGUGCAUGGUUGUCGUCAGCUCGUGCCGUGAGGUGUUGGAUUAAGUUCCGCAACGAGCGCAACCCUUGUUGUUAGUUGCCAUCAUUCAGUUGGGCACUCUAGCGAAACUGCCAGCGUCAAGCUGGAGGAAGGUGGGGACGACGUCAAAUCAUCAUGCCCCUUACGUCCUGGGCUACACACGUGCUACAAUGGGCGGUACAACGGGUUGCCACUUCGCGAGAAGGAGCGAAUCCCCAAAGCCGUCCUCAGUUCGGAUUGCAGGCUGCAACUCGCCUGCAUGAAGCUGGAAUUGCUAGUAAACGUGGAUCAGCAUGCCGCGUUGAAUACGUACCCGGGCCUUGUACACACCGCCCGUCACACCAUGGAAGUCGGUAACACCCGAAGCCCGUGAGCUAACCGCAAGGAGGCAGCGGUCGAAGGUGGGAUCGAUGACUGGGGUG